rnacentral:rRNA from 1 species
UUAAGCGACUAAGCGUACACGGUGGAUGCCCUGGCAGUCAGAGGCGAUGAAGGGCGUGCUAAUCUGCGAUAAGCGCCGGUAAGGUGAUAUGAACCGUUAUAACCGGCGAUACCCGAAUGGGGAAACCCAGUGUGAUUCGUCACACUAUCAUUAACUGAAUCCAUAGGUUAAUGAGGCGAACCGGGGGAACUGAAACAUCUAAGUACCCCGAGGAAAAGAAAUCAACCGAGAUUCCCCCAGUAGCGGCGAGCGAACGGGGAGGAGCCCAGAGCCUGAAUCAGCAUGUGUGUUAGUGGAAGCGUCUGGAAAGGCGCGCGAUACAGGGUGACAGCCCCGUACACAAAAGCGCAUGUGCUGUGAGCUCGAUGAGUAGGGCGGGACACGUGGUAUCCUGUCUGAAUAUGGGGGGACCAUCCUCCAAGGCUAAAUACUCCUGACUGACCGAUAGUGAACCAGUACCGUGAGGGAAAGGCGAAAAGAACCCCGGCGAGGGGAGUGAAAAAGAACCUGAAACCGUGUACGUACAAGCAGUGGGAGCACCCUUUGGGGUGUGACUGCGUACCUUUUGUAUAAUGGGUCAGCGACUUAUAUUCUGUAGCAAGGUUAACCGUAUAGGGGAGCCGCAGGGAAACCGAGUCUUAAUUGGGCGUUAAGUUGCAGGGUAUAGACCCGAAACCCGGUGAUCUAGCCAUGGGCAGGUUGAAGGUUGGGUAACACUAACUGGAGGACCGAACCGACUAAUGUUGAAAAAUUAGCGGAUGACCUGUGGCUGGGGGUGAAAGGCCAAUCAAACCGGGAGAUAGCUGGUUCUCCCCGAAAGCUAUUUAGGUAGCGCCUCGUGAAUUCAUCUCCGGGGGUAGAGCACUGUUUCGGCUAGGGGGCCAUCCCGGCUUACCAACCCGAUGCAAACUGCGAAUACCGGAGAAUGUUAUCACGGGAGACACACGGCGGGUGCUAACGUCCGUCGUGAAGAGGGAAACAACCCAGACCGCCAGCUAAGGUCCCAAAGUCAUGGUUAAGUGGGAAACGAUGUGGGAAGGCCCAGACAGCCAGGAUGUUGGCUUAGAAGCAGCCAUCAUUUAAAGAAAGCGUAAUAGCUCACUGGUCGAGUCGGCCUGCGCGGAAGAUGUAACGGGGCUAAACCAUGCACCGAAGCUGCGGCAGCGACGCUGAUGCGUUGUUGGGUAGGGGAGCGUUCUGUAAGCCUGCGAAGGUGGCCUGUGAGGGUUGCUGGAGGUAUCAGAAGUGCGAAUGCUGACAUAAGUAACGAUAAAGCGGGUGAAAAGCCCGCUCGCCGGAAGACCAAGGGUUCCUGUCCAACGUUAAUCGGGGCAGGGUGAGUCGACCCCUAAGGCGAGGCCGAAAGGCGUAGUCGAUGGGAAACGGGUUAAUAUUCCCGUACUUGGUGUUACUGCGAAGGGGGGACGGAGAAGGCUAUGUUGGCCGGGCGACGGUUGUCCCGGUUUAAGCGUGUAGGUGUGUGUUCCAGGUAAAUCCGGUUCACUUUAACACUGAGGCGUGACGACGAGGCACUACGGUGCUGAAGCAACAAAUGCCCUGCUUCCAGGAAAAGCCUCUAAGCAUCAGGUAACAUCAAAUCGUACCCCAAACCGACACAGGUGGUCAGGUAGAGAAUACCAAGGCGCUUGAGAGAACUCGGGUGAAGGAACUAGGCAAAAUGGUGCCGUAACUUCGGGAGAAGGCACGCUGACACGUAGGUGAAGUGAUUUACUCAUGGAGCUGAAGUCAGUCGAAGAUACCAGCUGGCUGCAACUGUUUAUUAAAAACACAGCACUGUGCAAACACGAAAGUGGACGUAUACGGUGUGACGCCUGCCCGGUGCCGGAAGGUUAAUUGAUGGGGUCAGCGCAAGCGAAGCUCCUGAUCGAAGCCCCGGUAAACGGCGGCCGUAACUAUAACGGUCCUAAGGUAGCGAAAUUCCUUGUCGGGUAAGUUCCGACCUGCACGAAUGGCGUAAUGAUGGCCAGGCUGUCUCCACCCGAGACUCAGUGAAAUUGAACUCGCUGUGAAGAUGCAGUGUACCCGCGGCAAGACGGAAAGACCCCGUGAACCUUUACUAUAGCUUGACACUGAACACUGGUCCUUGAUGUGUAGGAUAGGUGGGAGGCUUUGAAGUGUGGACGCCAGUCUGCAUGGAGCCAUCCUUGAAAUACCACCCUUUAAUGGCUGGUGUUCUAACGUAGACCCGUAAUCCGGGUUGCGGACAGUGUCUGGUGGGUAGUUUGACUGGGGCGGUCUCCUCCUAAAGAGUAACGGAGGAGCACGAAGGUUGGCUAAUCCUGGUCGGACAUCAGGAGGUUAGUGCAAUGGCAUAAGCCAGCUUGACUGCGAGCGUGACGGCGCGAGCAGGUGCGAAAGCAGGUCAUAGUGAUCCGGUGGUUCUGAAUGGAAGGGCCAUCGCUCAACGGAUAAAAGGUACUCCGGGGAUAACAGGCUGAUACCGCCCAAGAGUUCAUAUCGACGGCGGUGUUUGGCACCUCGAUGUCGGCUCAUCACAUCCUGGGGCUGAAGUAGGUCCCAAGGGUAUGGCUGUUCGCCAUUUAAAGUGGUACGCGAGCUGGGUUUAGAACGUCGUGAGACAGUUCGGUCCCUAUCUGCCGUGGGCGCUGGAGAACUGAGGGGGGCUGCUCCUAGUACGAGAGGACCGGAGUGGACGCAUCACUGGUGUUCGGGUUGUCAUGCCAAUGGCAUUGCCCGGUAGCUAAAUGCGGAAGAGAUAAGUGCUGAAAGCAUCUAAGCACGAAACUUGCCCCGAGAUGAGUUCUCCCUGAGACUUAGAGUCUCCUGAAGGAACGUUGAAGACGACGACGUUGAUAGGCCGGGUGUGUAAGCGCAGCGAUGCGUUGAGCUAACCGGUACUAAUGAACCGUGAGGCUUAACCUU